rnacentral:rRNA from 1 species
UGGCGGACGGGUGAGUAAUGUCUGGGAAACUGCCUGAUGGAGGGGGAUAACUACUGGAAACGGUAGCUAAUACCGCAUAACGUCGCAAGACCAAAGAGGGGGACCUUCGGGCCUCUUGCCAUCGGAUGUGCCCAGAUGGGAUUAGCUAGUAGGUGGGGUAACGGCUCACCUAGGCGACGAUCCCUAGCUGGCCUGAGAGGAUGACCAGCCACACUGGAACUGAGACACGGUCCAG